rnacentral:rRNA from 1 species
GGCGAACGGGUGAGGAAUGCAUGGGUAACCUACCCUCGAGUGGGGAAUAACUAGCCGAAAGGUUAGCUAAUACCGCAUACGUUUCCGGGACCUCGGUUCCGGAAAGAAAGCAAUACCGUGGGUAUUGCGCUCAUGGAUGGGCUCAUGUCCUAUCAGCUUGUUGGUGAGGUAACGGCUCACCAAGGCUUCGACGGGUAGCUGUCUGAGAGGACGAUCAGCCACACUGGCACUGCGACACGGGCCAGACUCCUACGGGAGGCAGCUAGUAAGGAAUAUUGCGCAAUGGACGAAAGUCUGACGCAGCGACGCCGCGUGGGGGAUGAAGGUCUUCGGAUUGUAAACCCCUUUCGGGAGGGAAGAUGGAGGGGUAACCACUUGGACGGUACCUCCAGAACAGCCACGGCU